rnacentral:rRNA from 1 species
AACGAACGCUGGCGGCAUGCCUAACACAUGCAAGUCGAACGAGACCUUCCGGUCUAUUUGCGCACGUGUGCGGAACGCCUGGGAACCUACCCGUAAGUUCGGAAUAACUCCCUUUAAGGGGUGCUAAUAACACAUAAUUUCUUCGGACCAAAGAUUUACCGCCUUUGGAUGGGCCCUCGUUGGUUUAGCUAGUUGGUAGGGGAAAAGCCUACCAAGGAGACGAUCCAUAGCUGGUAUGAGAGGAUGAUAAGCCACACUGGGGCUCAGACACGGCCCCGUAUGGGACGGGAGGGAGCAGAGGGGAAUAUUAGACAAUGGGCGAAAGCCUGAUCAAGCAAUGUCGGGUGAGUGAUGAAGGCGGUAGGGUUGUAAAGCUCUUUUUGCCGGGAUGAUAAUGACGGUACCGGGAGAAGAAGCACCGGCUAACUCCGUG